rnacentral:lncRNA from 1 species
UGGGCACAAUGGCUCUCGCCUGUAAUCCCAGCACUUUGGGAAGCUAAGGGCAGGUAGGUCACCUGAGGUUGGGAGUUCGAGACCAGCCUGACCAACAUGGAGAAACCCCGUCUCUACUAAAAAUACAAAAUUAGCUGGGCAUGGUGGCGCAUGCCUGUAAUCCCAGCUACUAGGGAGGCUGAAGCAGGAGAAUCGCUUGAACCCGGGAGGCGGAGGUUGGGAUGAGUUGAGAUUGUGCCAUUGCACUCCAGCCUGGGCAACAAGAGUGAAACUCCAUCUCAAAAAAUAAAUAAAUAAAAAAUAAAAACGUGUAUGGCUUCCCUUCAAGCAUAUGUCAGCUUACUACAUCAUAAGACUUCAUAAAAUAAAAAUUGCCCUAGGUUUUAAAGGUAAAAUCAGAGAAUAAAUGUCUCUUGUUGGAAGUGUCCUCUCAGGACUCAUCUAGUCCAACCUCCCCAGUGAGUGGAUGAGGGCACAGACUGACGCCAGAGGCAGGAGGCUCUGGAUUGGAGAGUUAGAGGCCAACGCAAGUAUAGAAUCUGCAGUCCUAGCACAGGGAUCUUUCUCCUCCCUUGUGUAAUUUAUCUUUAAAAACACUGAUAGUUUUCUGGUGCUGGGAGCACCAUGCCCUUUAAAACUUAUA